rnacentral:rRNA from 1 species
AGGUUUGAUCAUGGCUCAGAAUCAACGCUGGCGGCGCGCCUAACACAUGCAAGUCGAACGAGAAAGGGGAGCAAUCCCUGAGUACAGUGGCGUACGGGUGAGUAACACGUGGAUCAUCUACCUUCUGGUGGGGAAUAACCCUGGGAAACCGGGGCUAAUACCGCAUAAGCCCGAGAGGGGAAAGUCGAAAGACGCCGGAAGAGGAGUCCGCGGCCGAUUAGCUAGUUGGCAGGGUAAAAGCCUACCAAGGCAAAGAUCGGUAGCCGGCCUGAGAGGGCACACGGCCACACUGGCACUGAAACACGGGCCAGACUCCUACGGGAGGCAGCAGUGGGGAAUCUUGCACAAUGGGGGAAACCCUGAUGCAGCGACGCCGCGUGAGCGAUGAAGCCCUUCGGGGUGUAAAGCUCUUUCGGCAGGGAAGAUGAUGACGGUACCUGCAGAAGCAGCUGCGGCUAACUACGUGCCAGCAGCCGCGGUAAUACGUAGGCAGCGAGCGUUGUUCGGAGUUACUGGGCGUAAAGGGUGUGUAGGCGGUUGUUUAAGUUUGGUGUGAAAUCUCCCGGCUCAACUGGGAGGGUGCGCCGAAUACUGAAUGACUCGAGUGCGGGAGAGGAGAGUGGAAUUCCUGGUGUAGCGGUGAAAUGCGUAGAUAUCAGGAGGAACACCGGUGGUGUAGACGGCUCUCUGGACCGUAACUGACGCUGAGACACGAAAGCGUGGGUAGCAAACAGGAUUAGAUACCCUGGUAGUCCACGCCCUAAACGAUGCAUAUUUGGUGUGGGCGGUUCAGUCUGUCUGUGCCGGAGCUAACGCGUUAAAUAUGCCGCCUGGGGAGUACAGUCGCAAGGCUGAAACUCAAAGGAAUUGACGGGGCCCGCACAAGCGGUGGAGCAUGUGGUUCAAUUCGACGCAACGCGAAGAACCUUACCUGGGCUCGAAC